rnacentral:rRNA from 1 species
UGGCGAACGGGUGAGUAACGCGUGAGGAACCUGCCUCAAAGAGGGGGACAACAGUUGGAAACGACUGCUAAUACCGCAUAAGCCCACGGCCCGGCAUCGGGCUGCGGGAAAAGGAUUUAUUCGCUUCAGGAUGGACUCGCGUCCAAUUAGCUAGUUGGUGAGGUAACGGCCCACCAAGGCGACGAUCCAUAGCCGACCUGAGAGGGUGACCGGCCACAUUGGGACUGAGACACGGCCCAA